GACGAACGCUGGCGGCGUGCUUAACACAUGCAAGUCGAACGAAGUGGCGAACGGGUGAGUAACGCGUAAUCAACCUGCCAUUCAGGGGGGGACACCAGUUGGAAAGGACUGCUAAUACCGCAUACUGAAGGAGGGGAUUGUGUCUGAUUAGCUAGUUGGAGGGGUAACGGCUCACCAAGGCGAGGAGCGGUAGCCGGUCUGAGAGGAUGACCGGCCACAUUGGGACGGAGAUACGGCCCAGACUCCUACGGGAGGCAGCAGUGGUGGAUAUUGCACAAUGGGCGAGAGCCUGAUGCAGCGACGCCGCGUGGGGGAUGAAGGCUUUCGGGUUGUAAACCUCGUUCGCUAUCGAACGGGUAGGUGGAGAAGAAGCGCCGGCUAACUACGUGCCAGCCGCCGCGGUAAUAC
rnacentral:rRNA from 1 species